CCUAUGGGGGGCAGCAGGCGCGAAACCUUCACAAUGCACGAAAGUGUGAUGAGGGUACUCCGAGUGCGCAUACAUUUGUAUGUGCUUUUCUGCAGCGUAAAUAGUUGCAGGAAUAAGGGCUGGGCAAGACCGGUGCCAGCCGCCGCGGUAACACCGGCAGCCCUAGUGGUGGCCGCUUUUAUUGGGCCUAAAGCGUCCGUAGCCGGAUAGGCAAGUCUUUGGGUAAAUCCUACGUCUUAAGCGUGGGAAUUCUAAAGAUACUACCUGUCUUGAGGCCGGGAGAGGCUAGAGGUACUCCUGGGGUAGGGGUAAAAUCCUAUAAUCCCAGGGGGACCACCGAUGGCGAAGGCAUCUAGCUGGAACGGGCCUGACGGUGAGGGACGAAACCCAGGGGAGCGAGCCGGAUUAGAUACCCGCGUAGUCC
rnacentral:rRNA from 1 species